rnacentral:rRNA from 1 species
AGAUUCCUACGGGACGCAGCAGUGGGGAAUAUUGCACAAUGGGGGAAACCCUGAUGCAGCGACGCCGCGUGAGUGAAGAAGUAUCUCGGUACGUAAAGCUCUAUCAGCAGGGAAGAAAAUGACGGUACCUGGCUAAGAAGCCCCGGCUAACUACGUGCCAGCAGCCGCGGUAAUACGUAGGGGGCAAGCGUUAUCCGGAUUCACUGGGUGUAAAGGGAGCGUAGACGGCAGCGCAAGUCUGGAGUGAAAUGCCGGGGCCCAACCCCGGAACUGCUUUGGAAACUGUGCAGCUCGAGUGCAGGGGG